UCACUUGUCCCUUAAAUGAGGACGCGUAUGAAAGGCAACAUGAGAGAAAACCUGUCUCCUAAGGAAUGCCAAUGAAAUUGAACUGCCAGUUCAAAAGCUGGUAUAAAAAAGCAAGACAAAAAGACCCUGUGGAACUUUAAUUAACUGCUUUACAUAAUAUAAACCAGUAAUUUCAGUUGGGACAACUUUAGAAAAAAUAAACUUCCUAAUUUUACUAGACUAACUAGUCCAAAACAACCAAUGACCCAGUAGUACUGAUUAACGAAACAAGCUACCCCAGGGAUAACAGCGCCACCUUCUCAAAGAGUUCAUAUCAACAAGAAGAUCUACGACCUCGAUGUUGGAUCAGGGUACCCAGACGGUG
rnacentral:rRNA from 1 species